rnacentral:rRNA from 1 species
GAUGAACGCUGGCGGCGUGCCUAAUACAUGCAAGUCGAGCGAACAGACGAGGAGCUUGCUCCUCUGACGUUAGCGGCGGACGGGUGAGUAACACGUGGAUAACCUACCUAUAAGACUGGGAUAACUUCGGGAAACCGGAGCUAAUACCGGAUAAUAUAUUGAACCGCAUGGUUCAAUAGUGAAAGACGGUUUUGCUGUCACUUAUAGAUGGAUCCGCGCCGCAUUUGCUAGUUGGUAAGGUAACGGCUUACCAAGGCAACGAUGCGUAGCCGACCUGAGAGGGUGAUCGGCCACACUGGAACUGAGACACGGUCCAGACUCCUACGGGAGGCAGCAGUAGGGAAUCUUCCGCAAUGGGCGAAAGCUUGACGGAGCAACGCCGCGUGAGUGAUGAAGGUCUUCGGAUCGUAAAACUCUGUUAUUAGGGAAGAACAAAUGUGUAAGUAACUAUGCACGUCUUGACGGUACCUAAUCAGAAAGCCACGGCUAACUACGUG